rnacentral:rRNA from 1 species
GACUGGAAGCACCCGAGUAGCGUCAGGCACGAGGAAUCUGGCGUGAAUCAGCGUGGACCAAAUCACGUAAGGCUAAAUACUGUUGUUGACCGAUAGUGAAGAGUACCGUGAGGGAAAGGUGAAAAGAACCCUGAGCAAGGGAGUGAAACAGAAUUUGAAACCGUGUGCUUACAAACGGUAGGAGCACAUUAUGUGUGACUGCGUGGAUUUUGGUUAAUCAUCCUGCGAGUUAUGGCUGGUGGCAAGGUUAAUAGACGGAGCCGAAGGGAAACCAAGUCUUAAUAGGGCGUCAAGUCGCCAGUCAUAGACGCGAAACCUAGUGAUCUAGGCCUGUCCAGGCUGAAGCUGAGGUAAGACUCAGUGGAGGGCCGAACUCACCGCCGUUGAAAAGUUGGGAGAUGAGAUAGGUCUAGGGGUGAAAAGCCAAUCGAACUAGGAGAUAGCUCGUUCUCUCCGAAAUGCAUUUAGGUGCAGCCUUGAACUGAGAUAUGUGGGGGUAGAGCUCUGUAUGAUCUAGGGGGCGUACUGCUUACCGAAAUCAAGCAAACUUCGAAUACCAUAUAUCAUGUUCAGGAGUGAGUCCGUGGAUGACAAGGUCCUCGGACGAGAGGGGAACAGCCCAGACCGCCAGCUAAGGUCCCUAAUUAUGUCUAAGUGGGAAAGGAGGUGGACAUUCAUAGACAACCAGGAGGUUGGCUUAGAAGCAGCCAUGCCUUGAAAGAGUGCGUAAUAGCUCACUGGUCGAGAGUGCCUGCGCCGAAGAUGUAACGGGGCUAAGACAUAAACCGAAGCUGCGGAAGAUACACUGUAUCUUGGUAGGAGAGCGUUCUGUAGGCCGUCGAAGGGAUGCCGCAAGGCCGUCCUGGAGGUAUCAGAAGCGAGAAUGCAGGAAUGAGUAGCGAGAAGGCGGGCGAGAAUCCCGCCGGCCGGAAGUCCAAGGUUUCCAGGGGAAGGCUUGUCCGCCCUGGGGAAGUCGGGACCUAAGCAUAAGCAAAAUUGUGAUGGCGAAUGGAAAACAGGUUAAUAUUCCUGUACCGCUGUUAUCGCUUGAGAGACGGAGUGACGCAGGAAGGUAUGCGAGAAGGCUGACGGUUUAGCCUUUCUAAGGGCCCAGCGUGGGCGUGCAGGUAAAUCCGCACGCCUAAACGUGAGACCUGACGGGGAAGUGCAUUUGCAUAAGUCGCAGAUCCUACACUGCCAAGAAAAACUUCUAUCGAUGAGAAGCAGCGCCCGUACUGUAAACCGACACAGGUGGACAGAGUGAGAAACUUAAGGCCGACAGGAUAACUCUAGCUAAGGAACUCUGCAAAAUAGCCCCGUAACUUCGGGAGAAGGGGUGCCUGACAUACCUGAAGGAGAGAAGCGCUCCCAGGGGAAACAGGCCGCAGUGAAGAGUCUCAAGCAACUGUUUACCAAAAACACAGGUCUAUGCUAAGCUGAAAGGCGACGUAUAUGGGCUGACACCUGCCCAGUGCCGGAAGGUUAAGAGGAGGAGUGAGAGCUCCGAUUUGAAGCCCCGGUGAACGGCGGCCGUAACUAUAACGGUCCUAAGGUAGCGAAAUUCCUUGUCGGGUAAGUUCCGACCUGCACGAAUGGUGAAAUGAUUUGAGAGCUGUCUUGGCUGGAGACCUGGUGAAGUUGUAAUGCCGGUGAAGAUACCGGCUACCUGCAGUAGGACGGAAAGACCCCGUGGAGCUUUACUGUAGCUUGGCAUUGGGUUCUGGCAAUGUGUGUAUAGGAUAGUUGGGAGACUAUGAUGUAAUGGCGUCAGCCAUUGCUGAGUCGCUGUUGGAAUACCAACCAUAUGUUGUCGGAAUUCUAAUCUGACAACGGAGACAGUGCUAGGUGGGCAGUUUGACUGGGGCGGUCGCCUCCCAAAGAGUAACGGAGGCGUUCAAAGGUUCCCUCAGGCUGGAUGGAAAUCAGCCUAAGAGUGCAAACGCAUAAGGGAGCUUGACUGCAAGACUGACGGGUCGAGCAGGUACGAAAGUAGGAGUUAGUGAUCCGGCGGUUCCGCAUGGAAGGACCGUCGCUCAACGGAUAAAAGCUACCCCGGGGAUAACAGGCUGAUACUUCCCAAGAGUCCAUAUCGACGGAAGUGUUUGGCACCUCGAUGUCGGCUCGUCUCAUCCUGGGGCUGGAGAAGGUCCCAAGGGUUGGGCUGUUCGCCCAUUAAAGAGGCACGCGAGCUGGGUUCAGAACGUCGUGAGACAGUUCGGUCCCUAUCCA